UAGAUCUAAAUGGCAUAAUUAAUGUCAUGGGGUGAAUGCUCUAUGCAUUCAUGGAGAAUUCACCCCAUGCGUUGAGCUCAGUUGAGCUUCAUCGCACAGCAGCAAAUGGAUAUAACUUUGUGAAUCUAUAAAGCUGAACGAUACAAUCAGAAAACAGUCGCCUUCAAAAAUCGUCUACAAGUUUCAAAUUGCCUAUUAUUUUCCAACUACUGUCUCACUAGCAGAGCAGUCUAUGAAAGUGUCUAGUUUGCUCAAACAGCUCAUUUUGUGUCCACACACACACCAAUCACUCUACCCCUGCUGCGCACACACGGGGUAAUUACAGUGCCACCAAUUAAAGUACCAUGUGAGCUCAUAAUUAUAGCACUUUAAUAUCAUCGUUUAUACAGUACAGGUACAGCUAGCUAGCUACAGUAAAACCUGUUCCAAUGACUACUCUGAUCAUUACUAUCCCUAUGCUGAUGUUUUUCACCUCCACCACUUCACACGUUAAUUUAAGACGAGUGGUCUAUAAUGAAGGCCGCGAUUCAUUAUGUUGUGUACAUGAUGUCAGUGGCAAUAUUAUAUUUAUGUACAUAUUUAUAUGUGUAGAAUUGGAUUAGCAACUACAAGAGAUCUCAGCGCAAUUAUAAAGGCGAUAGCCCAAGAGUAGGGAUUGCAAGCAGUGACAUUCCUGGUGGUCCAGGACCACUAAAGAAAGGCAGAUUCUUAUCAAUCCCCAAUGCAUAUAAUGUGCAUGUUGCAGAAUUCCUCAAGUCUGAAAGUCAGUAUUACAAAUACUUAAUCUGGGUGCUAUAUUAAACGUUAAAUCGUCAAAACUGUACUGUGCUGUGUGGCAUUUUGUUUGCUACGAUGUUUUUCUACUGAAGUGUAUAUAGAUAGCAAUAAUUAAUAUACCCCCCCCCCCCAAUAAUGUUCUAAAGUGACUACUAUAGUUAUACAUCAUCUGUUUCAUGGGCUGCAAUAAUAAUUUAUAGAUAACCACAAUAAGAAUAAGCUUAAAAUAAUUCACAAACGUUAUGUUGUUGUUUGCACUUGUGAAAUGUGUAUGUAUACCCUUUAGGCUGUACAUAAUUAUAUUUUUUAACACUCACCCUGCCUACAACCAAGGAGAAAUACUCAGCAGCCGCAGAGAAAUGGCGAUCUAUGUCAGAGGAGGAAAAAGCAAACUGUAAAGAACGAAUCGGAGAAUAUUCAAAAAGCAAAGAAGUGACGUGGCCAAAGAUUCAGAAAGUGAUGAGACAGAUGAAUUCUGGGAAUCUGCCGAGGAAGAACUUCCUGAGUCCACUCAAAGAGCUACUUCUAAAAAGUUGGUUGAACAAGUGAAGAAUAUUUUCCAGCAGAAAUAUGCUAUCUCUACGGGCCAUAUCGGAGAUGUUCCAUAUGACAGUGAAGACAUUGUAGUGAACCUGAAGGGCCUACCAACGAAUAUAGAGUUCAAAAGACCCUCACUGUAUGGAGUAAGGCAGCUUCAAACGAUCAUAUCAAAUAAAUCAAAGUUUGAAAUGCACGAUAAGUUUGAGGUUCAUUAAUAGGGGUGGGUAUAUAUUAUGCUUUUUUUCGUAUGCUCACAAAGAAUUAUUAUGUGACUGUUACUGUCGAUACUCAAAAUUGCAUGUACCCACCCACCCCUAGUCAUAACUAAGUGAAACCCCUAAAUGCGGGACCGUAGAAAAUUAUGAUUAUAAGCUAGUAUAGAUGUGUUUUUGAACAUGCACCCAUGGGCAUUUUUCUUCCGCCUUGCAGUACGGAGUGUGCACACAGCGCUAAGGGAACAUAACUACCAACAACCCGGUGCCGUAGAAACUCAAGACUGAUAUGCUCCAGAUAUAUAUAUAUAUAUAUAGCUAAUAGUCACCGUCUGUACUCGAUCCAUGGUAAAAAUGUAGAC